rnacentral:rRNA from 1 species
AUUGAACGCUGGCGGAAUGCUUUACACAUGCAAGUCGAACGGCAGCACGGACUUCGGUCUGGUGGCGAGUGGCGAACGGGUGAGUAAUGUAUCGGAACGUGCCCAGUCGUGGGGGAUAACGUAGUGAAAAUUACGCUAAUACAGCAUACGAUCUAUGGAUGAAAGCGGGGGAUCGCCAGACCUCGCGCGAUGGGAGCGGCCUAUAUCAGAGUAGGUAGUUGGUGGGGUAAAGGCCCACCAAGCCAACGAUCUGUAGCUGGUCUGAGAGGACGACCAGCCACACUGGAACUGAGACACGGUCCAGACUCCUACGGGAGGCAGCAGUGGGGAAUUUUGGACAAUGGGCGAAAACCUGAUCCAGCCAUUCCGCGUGCAGGAUGAAGGCCCUCGGGUUGUAAACUGCUUUUGUACAGAACGAAAAGGUUUCUACUAAUACUAGGAGCUCAUGACGGUACUGUAAGAAUAAGCACCGGCUAACUACGUGCCAGCCGCCGCAGUAA